CUAUUUUGCCUUCUGGAACUUCAUCUCCUUCUGUCCUGAUCAUCUUCCCUCUUUUUGCUAUCAUCCGCCUGCACUUCUCUAGUCUGAAUGGCAUUCUGAUACCGUUGCUAUAUAUCCUAGUUAGGUGGAUCAGUGAGUCAAUGUCCCGCUCAUUAUUGGUAUACAGCUUGAUGUCCUCCAUGUAAAUUAGGUGGCUGAUGGUAACUCCACUCUUGAACCUGCAUCUGUAUCCACUCUUCUUGAUGAUCUGGAAAAGGGAGUUGAGGCCUGUGCAGAACAGCAUUGGGGAUAGUGCAUCACCCUGGUAUAUGCCACAUUUAAUGUUCACUUGAGUUAUUGUCCUGGAAUUGGCUUCUAGAGUUGUUUUCCACUUGCCCAUCGAGUUCUUGAUGAAGGCUCUUAUUGUCUUGCUGACGUGGUAGAGAGCCAAGCAUUCCAGUAUCCAUGUGUGUGGCAUUGUGUCAUAGGCUUUCUUGUAGUGAAUCCAGGCCGUGCACAGAUUGGUCUGUCCGGUCUUAGAAUCCCUUGUGACUGCUUGGUCUACCAGUAGUUGGUGUUUUGAUCCUCUG